CACUGCUCAGCCCGUUAUGCUUGCUAAAUGUGUUUUUUAUUGCUCGAAAUCCAAUAAAUCCAAUAAGGUGAAGGAGGUUAAUGCAAACAGGGCAUGUGGGUGGGCAGCCAGCCCCAGUGCAGUGCCUGGAGGUGACCGUGUCUGCCCCAGGAGCUGGGCACACGGGGACUCCUUCUUUCCAUGGUUGGCUUCCAUUGGAGAUGGCUUUGAGUCUAAAUUGUGGUGUGCAAAAUGAAGCUUUACUUUGGAGAGAUUAAAUCUGAGAUGAUUUUAAGGAGUUUUCCUUCUGAGAAAAUCCAAUCUUCUGACAAUAAGCCCCACUUGAAGGAGCUCAGGCUGACAGCUGGAGUCAGUUGAGAGUUACAGGUGUGACUCAGAGGCCCCACAGCCGUUUGGGGGUUUUGUAGCCCUGGCAGCAGCAAGCUCCCAGCUUGCCCAUCUCUCUGCCCUUGCAGGGACAGAAUUCCAGGUGUAAUGGCCGUGAUGGCCACAGCCCACAGCUCUGGGCAGAUGCUUAGCUGGGACAAAUGCUUACACGGGUCCUCACUGAGCUGCCCAAAGCACAACUGGAAAUGUUGAGCAAAUCUUUUCUGUCGUGAUUUUGUUUCUGUCUCCUUGCAGGGGGUGCUGUGUGCCGUAUCGCGGUCCUCCGGCUGUGGUUCCAGCUCGGGGCCGCACCUAUGGAGGAGCACUUAGUGGUUGCCGGGGAAAGCUUUCAAUCUGCACCCCAACCAACCCCACAAAAAGUUAGUCGGGCAGAAGCACAGCCGGAGCUGCGAUGAUUGCGGAGAGGGGAGAGUGUGGAACCGCUGCGGUGCCUCCCAAAGCCCGGAGGCUGCCGGAAUCCCAUGUGCGCCGGCGAUGGCAAUCACGCCGCUGCUGACGCUCGCGUGCCGCUGCCGGGAGCCGCAGUCAGCCCGAGGGGAGCGGCGGCACCGGAGGGAGCGCUGCGAGGGAACUUUUGGCCGCGAGCCGACUCCGGGCAGCAGAGCGGAGAGCUGAGCUCUGCCAGCGGCUGCACGCUCCGCCAGGGCGAGGCGGCGGCUCGCGGCGAUCCCAACCCGGCUCAGCCCGCAGCAGCCCCGGGACGCGGAGCGGCAGCCCGGCACCAUGAACCAGACGGCGACGGUGUCCCACCACCAGGUGCAGUGCCACUCCUCCAGGGUCGCCAAGAUAACUGAUCAUUACUUUCUGACUGAAUUGUAUAUGUGAAGACCUUAUGCUACACCAGACCAGGUGAGAUUAUCUGAAAACGUAAAUAUUUCAGUACUUUUUCUACUACGUAGUGUAUGUAUGCACUAUAUAGUAGAAUUUCUUUAAAAACAGUAAUUAUGGUGAGCUUUCAAUUGCUUAAGCUUAGGUUCUCAUGUCUUCAAGGUUAAUGGAAAUUUUAGUGAAGGUGUUUUGCUACUUUCAUCUUUCCCUAUUGAACACACUUUGCUCAGUUGGCCUACCUUGUAGAAAACACAAAAU
rnacentral:lncRNA from 1 species